rnacentral:rRNA from 1 species
CAGUAGCCGCGGUAAUACGGAGGGUGCAAGCGUUAAUCGGAAUUACUGGGCGUAAAGCGCACGCAGGCGGUCUGUCAAGUCGGAUGUGAAAUCCCCGGGCUCAACCUGGGAACUGCAUUCGAAACUGGCAGGCUAGAGUCUUGUAGAGGGGGGUAGAAUUCCAGGUGUAGCGGUGAAAUGCGUAGAGAUCUGGAGGAAUACCGGUGGCGAAGGCGGCCCCCUGGACAAAGACUGACGCUCAGGUGCGAAAGCGUGGGGAGCAAACAGGAUUAGAUACCCCGGUAGUCCCUGUCUCUUAUAA